AAAAAGGAGCUCCAGGAGCACAGGCUGCAAGUAGCAGCUGUCAUCCGGGGACACCAAGCCUGGGAUCCAGACAUCCCCUUCAAUCCAGGAGAGAUCUGGGGUGGGGAGAGGUGGGGAGAUUC